UGUUAUGUGUGUAUGCCUCAUCUGUUAUGUGGAAUAUGUAUUGAUUAAAGCAUGCUAUACAGGUUUUUAAACAAUGUAUAAAAAUGUAUAUUUUUAUCUACUAAUAUGUUGGGUAGAACAUGGGUAGAUAAUUGGUGUGAAAUAAACAGAUGAGAGGCCUCGGUGUUAUUGGUGUUAUUCUAGUCAUUCAGCAGAGUAUGGAUGACGACCACGGACUAUUCUAGACUGUCCUGUGGAACACUAGCAGGCUCAUUACCUGUAGGUGUUGUGAACGACGUGUUCACCGGUGUACUCUAUCCCCCACAUGGUUGCCUUUAGGACACUUAUUGUUGAGGAAGCCCCUCUGCAGUAAUGUCCGUCCCGAUGAAAAUCCUGAAUUAGGUUCCUUAUAAUAGAUGUUAUUUUAGGGACGUAAAGUGAGGAUAACGGGAAUGGGUAAUCCGGUUUAUUGUGGAUUGUUGAAAUUAAAUAUAAUUAUUAUGGGUUGAAAACCCUAUAUGCUCACCAGGCUCCCAUGCCUGACCCACUCAGUUUAUUUGUAUUACAGGAAGUGGCACAAGAUCUUAAGAUGGGUGAAUCAUCAAGUUGUUUUGUUUACAAGUCUGUAUAUGUAUAUAUUUGUUGAAUGACUUGUAAUGUUAUCGUUUAUGCUUUAUGAUUUGUAUCGGAACAUGACAUCCCGACUUUUGAUUAUGAAAUGAAAUCAUAUUUCUAUAUGAAAUGUUUUGAUAAAUAUCUAUUUUAUCAUGUUUUGUUUUUGGGAACAAAUUCCGCAUCUCUUUUAAAAUUAAAAAGGAUUUACUUUGAAAAUGUUUAAAAAGCAUAAAUGAAAACGGUCUUUUCUGGCCGAGAUUUUGGGGAUGUCACAGUUGGUAUUAGAGCAUUAGUUUUAGCGAACUAGGAAUUUGUAGGUUUUCUAGACUUAAACUUAGUAUGCUAAGUGGAGAUUGUGAGAUGUGUGUCUGGUAAAUUUUAGACACGAGCACUAGUUUAUUUUAGGAAAGUUGCCUAAAAUGCUUUUAUGUGCUAAAUGUUAUAUGUUGCCAUAUAUGAUAUUAUUUGUUCGGAUCUACGGUUUGUUGCCAACCGGAUCUGAAGGUUUAUGUGUUUAGGAUUCUAAGCGUAUGUAUACGAUAUUAGAACUAGCAUGUAAUCUUUUGGAGUAGUAAGGAUGAUUUGAAUAUCUAUCGUGAAUGAAGAUCUAAAUUGCACAUUAUUCGGUGUAUAGAUAAAAAAUGCUGAGAACAAGAAGCGGAGUUGGAAAUGCUGAUGAAAACAGGAAUCAACUGCCUGUAAUUCAACAAAUACCUGUUGUAGCUACUGCACCUGAGCCGAUAACAAUGGCUGGUGUACAAAUGAUGAUUCAAAUGAUGUUGGAUCGUCAGAUGGAAGAAACAAGACGCCUGCUUAGGCAGAAUCGUGAAGAACCGUCAAUUCAAGCGGAAGAGCCCGAGGAGAAUGGAGGGCAGUCUGAAGGAGAAAACUUUAGUGGGAUCAUUGGUCAAGACAACCCACCCGUGGUUAGGCGCAAUAACCAGGAUGGAGGAAAUGAUGGGCGGGGGUGUAAGUACAAGGAUUUCAUGGCGUCCAAACCACCAUGUCUAUCCGGAAGCCCGAUGCCGGUGCAAGUUAUGGACUGGGUCUCCGAAAUGGAGACUAUGUUUGAAAGUUGCGAAUGUAGCAACAGGCAGAAGACCGCUCUUGCGAUCCCUCUGCUAAAAUCUGGCGUGUUGAGUUGGUGGAAGCUGUUAGCUGACUCUAUGCCCAAGGGAGAAGCAAGCAAAAUGUCUUGGGAAGACUUUGUGGAACAACUAAAACUGCAAUACUGCUCCGAGCAGGACCUUCUGGAAAUCAGUAAUGAGUUUCAGAAUUUGAAGAAAGGGAAAUUGAGCGUUACUGAAUACGCUGCAAGUUUCACAGAAAAGAUGAAGUUUAUCCCAUAUUUGGUGCCUACAGAACUCUCUAAGGUCAACAAGUUUGCCCUUGGACUACCAGCGGACUAUGGUCCAAUGGUUAAGCAAGCAACCACAUUGAAAGCCGCCAUCUGGGCUGCUAGAAAUGUUGAGACCCAGAUCAGGGAAAAAGGUCUGGAAAGGUCAGAGGUUGGCGAGAAAAGGAAAAUCGAUGGAUUUUCAGGGUCCAGCAAGAAAAGUAAAUUCUCGAAGUCUAGUUCGAGGGGAAGUGGAGGAAAGGUAGAAGCGAAAUGGUGUGACAAGUGCAAGAAGAAGCAUUAUGGGAAGUGUGGCGGGGAAACCACAUGCUUCAAAUGUGGAAAGCUAGGGCAUUAUGCCAAUGACUGCACCUUCACCAAGAAUGUUUGUUAUGGUUGUGGUGAGGAGGGGCACAUCUCAAGGGAUUGUCCGAAAAAGAAGGAAGCAGCAAGACCCAACAUUCCGCCAAAGCCAAAGGCGAGAGCAUUCCAGAUGACACUGGAAGCUGCUAAAGAUGAAGCUGAUGUCGCUUCAGGUACCUUUCUCGUUAACAAAUUGCCUGCCCAAAUUUUAUUUGAUUCUGGAGCCAACUACUCCUUUAUAUCGCAUGAAUUUGGUAGAAAACUAGCUUUGCCUGUUGAUAGACUAGAUAAUGCUUUAUUAGUCGAAGUUGCUAGUGGCAAGUUUGUACCUGUUAGCCAUCGUAUGAAAAACAUCUUAAUUGAUCUGAAUGGAAAUAAGUUCCACGAGGAAUUAUUGCCUAUCGAACUUAACGGUUUCGACAUCGUUUUGGGAAUGGAUUGGCUUAGCGCCAAUGAUGCCGAAAUUUUAUGCAAGAAGAAAAUAGUGAAAGUGAACCCGCCUGGGAAGGAAUCGUUUAUGGUGUACGGAGAUAAACGCAGAGUAAAUUCUGGAAUCAUUUCUCUAAUGAAAGCCAGAAAAUGUUUGACCAAGGGGUGUACAUCAUACUUAGCAUUCGUGAUCGACGCUAAGAAGGAAAAGAAGGUGAUGCAAAAUAUUCCUGUUGUGUGUGAUUAUCCGGAAGUAUUUCCCGAAGAUCUUCCUGGAUUACCGCCCGAUCGACAAGUAGAAUUUCGUAUCGACUUGUUGCCCGGAACAACGCCAAUUGCAAAAGCACCUUAUCGAUUAGCACCGACGGAGAUGAAGGAGCUAAUGAUGCAACUUCAGGAGUUAUUGGACAAAGGUUUCAUUAGACCUAGUUCAUCACCCUGGGGAGCUCCGGUGUUAUUCGUAAAGAAGAAAGAUGGAAGCAUGAGGAUGUGCAUUGAUUACCGAGAGCUGAAUAAGGCAACAAUAAAGAAUAGAUAUCCGUUGCCGAGGAUUGAUGACCUAUUCGAUCAACUACAAGGUUCAAGUUAUUUUUCAAAGAUCGACCUGAGGUCAGGAUAUCAUCAGCUAAAAGUAAGGGAGCAGGAUAUAGAGAAGACUGCAUUCAGAACGCGAUAUGGACACUAUGAGUUCUUGGUUAUGUCGUUUGGACUAACCAAUGCUCCAGCAGCAUUCAUGGAUUUAAUGAACAGAGUUUGUAAUCCGUUCCUUGAUAAAUCUGUGAUAGUGUUCAUAGAUGACAUUCUGAUUUAUUCAAAAAGCCAAGAGGAGCAUGGCAGACACUUGCGAGAAGUGUUAGAAGUCUUGAAGAAGGAGAAGUUGUAUGCGAAGUUCUCCAAAUGUGAUUUCUGGAUUCGUGAAGUCCAAUUCUUGGGUCACGUGGUCAACCAAGAAGGGAUAAUGGUUGAUCCAGCGAAGAUCGAAGCUGUGAUGAAGUGGGAACAACCGAAAAGUCCCACGGAGAUCCGAAGCUUUUUAGGAUUAGCCGGAUAUUACCGAAGGUUUAUCCAAGGCUUUUCUUCGAUCGCUAGUCCAUUAACAGCUUUGACCCACAAAGGAGCUACUUAUGCUUGGAGUGAUAAGCAUAAAGAAGCAUUCGAGAAGCUAAAGAAGAAACUAUGCGAGGCACCGAUACUUUCUCUACCCGAUGGAGUUGAAGACUUCGCUGUUUAUAGCGAUGCGUCUGGGGUUGGAUUGGGUUGUGUUUUGACCCAAAGAGAUAAGGUGAUCGCAUAUGCGUCUCGACAGCUGAAAGAGCACGAAAAGAACUACCCGACUCAUGAUUUGGAGUUGGCAGCGGUAGUUUUCGCACUGAAAAUAUGGAGGCAUUACCUCUAUGGCACGAAGUGCAAACUUUUCACUGAUCAUAAGAGUCUCCAAUAUCUCUUUAGUCAGAAAGAAUUGAAUAUGAGGCAACGACGCUGGCUGGAAUUACUUAAGGACUACGACUGUGAGAUACUUUACCACCCCGGUAAGGCCAAUAUUGUUGCUGAUGCUCUCAGUCGGAAGGUCAAUCUUGAAAAGAAAAGGCCAAGAGCGUUGAGAAUUGAAGUUGUCUCGACUAUUUUGGAAAGUAUAAAGAAAGCUCAAAGCGAAGCUUCUGAGAAAAAUGACCGAAAGGAGGAACGUUUGGGCAAAACGUUGGUGUUCGGUGUAAACAGUCACGGACUGAAGGUGUUCCAAGAUCGGAUUUGGAUACCUAAGACAGGAGGAGUCAGAGAUCUUCUGAUGGAAGAAGCUCACAAAACCAUGUACUCGAUUCAUCCCGGUAGCACAAAAAUGUAUAGGGACCUGAAACCCUAUUAUUGGUGGCCGACGAUGAAGCUCGACAUUGCGAAGUAUGUGGCCGAGUGUGUGACCUGUGCAAGAGUCAAGGCACAACAUCAGAAACCAUACGGGAGUUUAGAACCAUUACCUGUGCCUAUGGGUAAGUGGGAAGACAUUGCUAUGGAUUUUGUCACUAAACUGCCCAGAACAAAAAGUGGUCACGACAUGAUUUGGGUGGUCGUUGAUCGAUUCACUAAGAGUGCGCAUUUCAUAGCAGCCAACGAGAAAUGGUCUAUGGAAAAGCUUGCGAAUUCUUACGUGAAGGAAAUUGUGAGGCUUCACGGUGUUCCGUUAACGAUUGUGUCGGAUCGUGACAGUCGUUUCACCUCACGAUUUUGGAAAAGUCUACAAGAGGAAUUGGGUACCAAGUUGUGUUUAAGUACAGCUUACCAUCCGCAGACUGAUGGUCAGAGUGAACGAACGAUACAAACACUUGAGGAUAUGCUGAGAGCGUGUACCUUGGAAUUCCUAGGUAAUUGGGAUGAACAUUUGCCUUUGGUAGAAUUUUCCUAUAAUAAUAGUUUUCACUCGAGCAUAAAGAUGGCACCUUAUCAAGCAUUGUAUGGACAGAAGUGUCGUACGCCGUCUUGUUGGCUUGAGGCUGGGGAAAAGCAGUUUAUGGGACCGGAGAUAGUCCAUCAAACGGCUGAAAAGUUGAAAAUAAUUAGGGAAAGAAUGCUAGCAGCUCAGGAUCGUCAAAAGAGCUAUGCUGACAAAAAGCGAAGACCGAUGACUUUUGAAGUUGGAGAUUCGGUUUUGCUUAAAGUCUCGCCGUGGAAGGGACUUAUAAGAUUUGGUAAAAGGGAAAGUUAAGUCCAAGGUUUAUUGGACCGUUUAAAGUUCUUCAGAGGAUUGGGAACCAAGCUUACAAGCUCGAACUACCAGAAGAACUGAAUGGAAUUCAUAACACUUUUCAUGUGUGUUACUNUUUCAUGUGUUUAUUUGAGGAAGUUCACGGGAGAAGUUCCUGACAGAAUUCCACUUUCGGAGUUGAGGAUCGAUGAGAACAAUAUGUUGAUUGAGGAACCGGAGGCAAUCGUUGACCGAAAGACUAAGAAGUUGCGACGUAAGAUGGUUGAGUUAGUGCUUGUCCGAUGGAAACACACGAAUGGGCCGAAUCUCACCUGGGAGACGGAGAGUGACAUGAUGAGUCGCUAUCCGCAUUUGUUUGCUGGUGUGUGAUUCCGGGGACGGAAUCAUUCUAAGGUGGAGAGAAUUGUAACGCCCGUGUUUCUGGGCUUGCCAUUUUUAGCAAUGUAAUAGUCUAGGUUAACCUUUGUAACCCCAAUUUGAAAUAAUAAAAAUGUAUUAUUUGUGAAUUAUGUGAAUUAUGUGAUUUAUGUGUUUAUUUUCUUAAUUAUUAUAAUUUAAUGAAUUAAGAAUAAAAUAAGCGUCAAAAUUAAAGAAUUAGAUAUGCCCGAUAUCUUUGUAUAAAGAUGUACUGGCCGAAACGAGGUUUCCGAAUAUAUAUAGAACACCCAAAUCUGACAUCGUAUCAGGAAGUUAUGAUUUUCUGAAGUUUCAACUGGGCAGUAUGCAGCCCAAAUACUCGAUUUGAGAUCCAGUGGUUUUUAGCCGAAACAAUCUAAACGAGAAUCGAAGAUCUCGUUGUUAGUAGAGAAACAAUGAAAAGAUAGGCGAGAACGCACGUCGGACGAAGAAGUUAUGAAUUUAUAACGAAGUUUUUCUGUCCCAGCCUCCUAUAAAUAAUUAAUAAAAAUAAAUUCAAAAUUAGCCGACGAAGUCUAAACGAAAGUUGUAGAGCGUAGUCUCACCUACGCGUGGAUAUAAAGAACGUUGAAAACGGAGUGCGUAUGAAGGAGAUAUGAAUUUUUGAAGUUUUUUAAAUAUUUAAUAUUUAUUUUUAAUUAAACCUCCGAUAUUAUCCGAAGAGGAGUCAGCCGACCUAUCCGAAGUACGCCCCGCGUACUGAUGUACGCCCAGCGUACAGCGAAGGAUGACGAAGCCAGCACUCGAGUACCUCCGAUGACGCAAGUGCUUACGAUCCGAGGCGUACGCCCCGCGUACGUGCGAGGGUUCAGCNNNNNNNNNNNNNNNNNNNNNNNNNNNNNNNNNNNNNNNNNNNNNNNNNNNNNNNNNNNNNNNNNNNNNNNNNNNNNNNNNNNNNNNNNNNNNNNNNNNNNNNNNNNNNNNNNNNNNNNNNNNNNNNNNNNNNNNNNNNNNNNNNNNNNNNNNNNNNNNNNNNNNNNNNNNNNNNNNNNNNNNNNNNNNNNNNNNNNNNNNNUUCCAACGCAAUAUUAUGAAGUAUUUAAUAUAAAAUACGUGCUACGUGUAUAUAUUUUGUGGUUAUAUGUGUGAAUGUAUAUUCACUCUCUUCUAUCUCAUAGAUCUGAUAUAUUCUCUAUGAAAUACGUGUUAUGUGUGUAUGCCUCAUCUGUUAUGUGGAAUAUGUAUUGAUUAAAGCAUGCUAUACAGGUUUUUAAACAAUGUAUAAAAAUGUAUAUUUUUAUCUACUAAUAUGUUGGGUAGAACAUGGGUAGAUAAUUGGUGUGAAAUAAACAGAUGAGAGGCCUCGGUGUUAUUGGUGUUAUUCUAGUCAUUCAACAGAGUAUGGAUGACGACCACGGACUAUUCUAGACUGUCCUGUGGAACACUAGCAGGCUCAUUACCUGUAGGUGUUGUGAACGACGUGUUCACCGGUGUACUCUAUCCCCCACAUGGUUGCCUUUAGGGCACUUAUUGUUGAGGAAGCCCCUCUGCAGUAAUGUCCGUCCCGAUGAAAAUCCUGAAUUAGGUUCCUUAUAAUAGAUGUUAUUUUAGGGACGUAAAGUGAGGAUAACGGGAAUGGGUAAUCUGGUUUAUUGUGGAUUGUUGAAAUUAAAUAUAAUUAUUAUGGGUUGAAAACCCUAUAUGCUCACCAGGCUCCCAAGCCUGACCCACUCAAUUUAUUUGUAUUACAGGAAGUGGCGCAAGAACUUAAGAUGGGCGAAUCAUCAAGUUGUUUUGUUUACAAGUCUGUAUAUGUAUAUAUUUGUUGAAUGACUUGUAAUGUUAUCGUUGAUGCUUUAUGAUCUGUAUCGGAAUAUGACAUCCCGACUUUUGAUUAUGAAAUGAAAUCAUAUUUCUAUAUGAAAUGUUUUGAUAAAUAUCUAUUUUAUCAUGUUUUGUUUUUGGGAAC
rnacentral:lncRNA from 1 species